UAACACAUGCAAGUCGAACGGGUAACAGGAAGAAGCUUGCUUCUUUGCUGACGAGUGGCGGACGGGUGAGUAAUGUCUGGGAAACUGCCUGAUGGAGGGGGAUAACUACUGGAAACGGUAGCUAAUACCGCAUAACGUCGCAAGACCAAAGAGGGGGACCUUCGGGCCUCUUGCCAUCGGAUGUGCCCAGAUGGGAUUAGCUAGUAGGUGGGGUAACGGCUCACCUAGGCGACGAUCCCUAGCUGGUCUGAGAGGAUGACCAGCCACACUGGAACUGAGACACGGUCCAGACUCCUACGGGAGGCAGCAGUGGGGAAUAUUGCACAAUGGGCGCAAGCCUGAUGCAGCCAUGCCGCGUGUAUGAAGAAGGCCUUCGGGUUGUAAAGUACUUUCAGCGGGGAGGAAGGGAGUAAAGUUAAUACCUUUGCUCAUUGACGUUACCCGCAGAAGAAGCACCGGCUAACUCCGUGCCAGCAGCCGCGGUAAUACGGAGGGUGCAAGCGUUAAUCGGAAUUACUGGGCGUAAAGCGCACGCAGGCGGUUUGUUAAGUCAGAUGUGAAAUCCCCGGGCUCAACCUGGGAACUGCAUCUGAUACUGGCAAGCUUGAGUCUCGUAGAGGGGGGUAGAAUUCCAGGUGUAGCGGUGAAAUGCGUAGAGAUCUGGAGGAAUACCGGUGGCGAAGGCGGCCCCUGGACGAAGACUGACGCUCAGGUGC
rnacentral:rRNA from 1 species